rnacentral:lncRNA from 1 species
AGAAUACACGGCAGGCGAUGCUAUUAUUACAUUUCUAAGGAACUGAAAGAGAUAAACAAAACAUCAGGCAGCUCUUCAUAUACCUGACAGCUCAAUAGAAGGAAAAGACAGUAGGAAAAACUCAGGAUGGAGGAAAAUGAACUGUCCCUGUCCGUGAAGGAACAUACAAUCUAUUGGAAGAUAUAGACCCUGGGAACUCCUGACACCCACUUCAAAAACUGUAUGUAACAAGAACCGAGGGAACAGGAACUCCACACAAGAAAGGGGUCUUUGAGUAAUGCAUCUUAUAAAAUGGCUCUCGAGGGAAAGAUCAUACCAGCUGCAGAUGGGCCUGUUCCAGAGGGCACAAGAUGAGCUGGGAAGCUCAAAUGAUACCUGCAUGUGGAGGUGGAGGCUGAAGAGGAGAGAACCCUGACUCACUUCCCAUCACCUCGCUGCCCCCUCCCCCCUUUAUUUCCCCAAGGCUAAAUAAAUAAUACACUUAAAACGUGAAGCA